CUGCGAGUGAAGCGGGAAAAGCUCAAAUUUAAAAUCUGGCGGUCUUUGGCCGUCCGAGUUGUAAUCUAGAGAAGUGUUAUCCGCGCUGGACCGUGUACAAGUCUCCUGGAAUGGAGCGUCAUAGAGGGUGAGAAUCCCGUCUUUGACACGGACUGCCAGGGCUUUGUGAUGCGCUCUCAAAGAGUCGAGUUGUUUGGGAAUGCAGCUCAAAAUGGGUGGUAAAUUCCAUCUAAAGCUAAAUAUUGGCGAGAGACCGAUAGCGAACAAGUACCGUGAGGGAAAGAUGAAAAGAACUUUGGAAAGAGAGUUAAACAGUACGUGAAAUUGCUGAAAGGGAAACGCUUGAAGUCAGUCGCAUUGUGUGGGAAUCAACCUUGCUUUUGCUGGGCGUACUUUCCAUAUGAUGGGUCAGCAUCAAUUUUGACCGUUGGAUAAAGUCUAAAGGAAUGUGGCAUCUUCGGAUGUGUUAUAGCCUUUGGUCGCAUACAACGAUUGGGAUUGAGGAACUCCUUAGGAUGCUGGCAUAAUGGCUUUAAUCGACCCGUCUUGAAACACGGACCAAGGAGUCUAACAUGCCUGCGAGUAUUUGGGUGGAAAACCCGAGUGCGCAAUGAAAGUGAAAGUUGAGAUCCUUGUCAUGGGGAGCAUCGACGCCCGGACCAGACCUUUUGUGACGGAUCUGCGGUAGAGCAUGUAUGUUGGGACCCGAAAGAUGGUGAACUAUGCCUGAAUAGGGUGAAGCCAGAGGAAACUCUGGUGGAGGCUCGUAGCGAUUCUGACGUGCAAAUCGAUCGUCAAAUUUGGGUAUAGGGGCGAAAG
rnacentral:rRNA from 1 species